rnacentral:rRNA from 1 species
GAUGAACGCUAGCGGCAGGCCUAAUACAUGCAAGUCGAGGGGUAUCCCGCUUUCGGGCGGGAGAGACCGGCGCACGGGUGCGUAACGCGUAUGCAACCUACCCAUAUCUGGGGGAUAGCCCGGAGAAAUCCGGAUUAACACCGCAUAAAAUCACAGUACGGCAUCGUACAAUGAUCAAAUAUUGAUAGGAUAUGGAUGGGCAUGCGUGUCAUUAGCUGGUUGGCGGGGUAACGGCCCACCAAGGCGACGAUGACUAGGGGAUCUGAGAGGAUGGCCCCCCACACUGGUACUGAGACACGGACCAGACUCCUACGGGAGGCAGCAGUAAGGAAUAUUGGUCAAUGGGCGGAAGUCUGAACCAGCCAUGCCGCGUGCAGGAAGACGGCCCUCUGGGUUGUAAACUGCUUUUAUUCGGGAAUAAACCUGCAUACGUGUAUGCAGCUGAACGUACCGAAGGAAUAAGGAUCGGCUAACUCCGUGCCAGCCGCCGCCGUAA